rnacentral:misc_RNA from 1 species
AACGGUCUAUACCUGCGGUACCUGCGGAGGGAUCAUUAUCGAGUUGCAAAACUCCCUAAACCAUUGUGAACCUACCUGUACCGUUCCUUCGGCGGGCGGCGUCAAGCCCUAACCCGGUCCCCUUUACGGGGGAUGGACCCGCCGGAGGCUCCUAAACUCUUAAUUUUAGUUGGCAUCUCUGAGUAAAUCAAAAUAAGUCAAAACUUUCAGCAACGGAUCUCUAGAUCGGAAGAGCACACG